rnacentral:tRNA from 1 species
GUGGGUUUAGCUCAGUGGUAGGGUGCAUGCUUAGCAUGCACAAGGUCCUGGGUUCAAUCCCCAGUACCUCCA